UGGACACAUAAGUUUUCUUUCAGUUUCUCCUCUCUGUGGGGAAAACUGCACAAGUGUCCUAUAGUUAACACAGAAGCUAUCUGUUCAACUCUGGUGAGUUAACGGGGUUGGAUCGUUCCACUUCUGACAACU